rnacentral:rRNA from 1 species
CCUACGGGCGGCAGCAGUGAGGAAUAUUGGUCAAUGGCCGGAAGGCUGAACCAGCCAUGCCGCGUGAAGGUCAGUGCCCUAUGGGCGUUAAACUUCUUUUGUGCGGGAGCAAUAAUGGUCACGUGUGGCCAGACGAGAGUACCGUACGAAUAAGCAUCGGCUAACUCCGUGCCAGCAGCCGCGGUAAUACGGGGGAUGCAAGCGUUAUCCGGAUUUAUUGGGUUUAAAGGGGGCGUAGGCUGUGAGGUAAGUCAGCGGUGAAAUGCCCCCGCUCAACGGGGUGAAGUGCCAUUGAUACUGCCUGGCUGGAAUGCGGAUGCGGUGGGAGGAAUGUGUGGUGUAGCGGUGAAAUGCAUAGAUAUCACACAGAACACCGAUUGCGAAGGCAUCUCACGAGUCCGCGAUUGACGCUGAUGCACGAAAGCGUGGGUAUCAAACAGGAUUAGAUACCCUUGUAGUC